rnacentral:rRNA from 1 species
CGCGUAGGCGGUGUUUUAAGUGAGAUGUGCAAUCCCCGGGCUUAACCUGGGAACUGCAUCUCAGACUGGAACGCUAGAGUACUGGAGAGGGUGGUAGAAUUCCACGUGUAGCGGUGAAAUGCGUAGAGAUGUGGAGGAAUACCAGUGGCGAAGGCGGCCACCUGGACAGUAACUGACGCUGAGGCGCGAAAGUGUGGGUAGCAAACA